CAGCACCUCAAGUGGUCAGGAUGAUUAUUGGGCCUAAAGCAUCCGUAGCCGGCUCUGUUAGUUUUCGGUUAAAUCUGUACGCUCAACGUACAGGCUGCCGGGAAUACUGCAGAGCUAGGGAGUGGGAGAGGUAGACGGUACUCGGUAGGAAGGGGUAAAAUCCUUUGAUCUAUUGAUGACCACCUGUGGCGAAGGCGGUCUACCAGAACACGUCCGACGGUGAGGGAUGAAAGCUGGGGGAGCAAACCGGAUUAGAUACCCGAGUAGUCC
rnacentral:rRNA from 1 species